rnacentral:snRNA from 1 species
CAACUUACCUGGCAGGGUAGAGACCUCGGUCACGAAGGGGGUUCUCCCAGAGUGAAGCUUCUUCAUCGCACUCUAGUAGAGUUGUUGAUCCCUGUGAUUUCCUCAGUGUGGGAAACUGUUUGUACUAGAAGAGGGCUGCACUGUUUACCUAAC